GCCCAGGUGUUGAAAUUGGUAGACAAGCACCCUUGAGGUGGGUGUGCCGUAAGGUGUGGAGGUUCGAGUCCUCUCCUGGGCACCA
rnacentral:tRNA from 1 species